GUGCUCACUUUGGCAGCACACAGAGUAAAAUUGGACCGAUACAGAGAUUAGCUUGGUUCCUGCUCAAGGAUGGCAUGCACAUUCAUGAAGCCGUCCAGAUUUUU